rnacentral:lncRNA from 1 species
CUGUUAUUCCGGUUGUCAUUCCGGUUGUUCCGGUUGUCAUUCCGGUUGUUGUUCCGGUUGUUGUCGCAGGUACCUGUGCCGUGUGGAGGAGAUGCGUCAGUCGCUCAGGAUCCCCUGAAUUCCCGGU